rnacentral:rRNA from 1 species
GAUGAACGCUGGCGGCGUGCUUAACACAUGCAAGUCGAACGGAAAGGCCACAGCUUUCUGUGUUACUGGAGUGGCGAGCGGGGGAGUAACACGUGGGGGAUAUGUGCUGUACUGCGGGAUAAACUUGUGGAACAGGGUCUAUAAUCGGGUAUAAAUCGCAUGAUGGUGUGUGGUUGGAAAGAUUGGGCGGUAUGCAAUGAGCUCGCGGCCUAUUGCCUUGUUGGUGGGGGAAGGUGCUACAAAGGCGUAGACGGGUGGCCGGACUGAGAGGGUGUACGGCCCCAUUGGGACUGAGAUACGGCCCAGACUCCUACGGGAGGCAGAAGCGGGGAACAUUGCACAAUGGGCGGAAGCAUGAUGCAGCGACGCCGCGUCGGGGAUGACGGCCUUCGGGUUGUAACCUGCGUUCGUCAGGGACGAAGAGACAGUGACGGUACCUGGCCAAGAAGCAACGGCUAACUACGUG